rnacentral:rRNA from 1 species
AACGCUAGCUACAGGCUUAACACAUGCAAGUCGAGGGGCAGCAUGAACUUAGCUUGCUAAGUUUGAUGGCGACCGGCGCACGGGUGAGUAACACGUAUCCAACCUGCCGAUGACUCGGGGAUAGCCUUUCGAAAGAAAGAUUAAUACCCGAUGGCAUAGUUCUUCCGCAUGGUAGAACUAUUAAAGAAUUUCGGUCAUCGAUGGGGAUGCGUUCCAUUAGGUUGUUGGCGGGGUAACGGCCCACCAAGCCUUCGAUGGAUAGGGGUUCUGAGAGGAAGGUCCCCCACACUGGAACUGAGACACGGUCCAAACUCCUACGGGAGGCAGCAGUGAGGAAUAUUGGUCAAUGGACGAGAGUCUGAACCAGCCAAGUAGCGUGAAGGAUGACUGCCCUAUGGGUUGUAAACUUCUUUUAUACGGGAAUAAAGUGAGGCACGUGUGCCUUUUUGUAUGUACCGUAUGAAUAAGGAUCGGCUAACUCCGUGCCAGCAGCCGCGGUAAUACGGAGGAUCCGAGCGUUAUCCGGAUUUAUUGGGUUUAAAGGGAGCGUAGGCGGACGCUUAAGUCAGUUGUGAAAGUUUGCGGCUCAACCGUAAAAUUGCAGUUGAUACUGGGUGUCUUGAGUACAGUAGAGGCAGGCGGAAUUCGUGGUGUAGCGGUGAAAUGCUUAGAUAUCACGAAGAACUCCGAUUG